UGGGAACCCACCUCUUGCAUCAGUGUGACCUGGAUAUGACAGAUGGAGUCAAAGGAGGUCAUUUUGGUGCUUUAAGAUUUGACUGCCCUGCUGGAUUUUGGACUUUUAAGGGGCCUGCAGCCCCUUUAUUUUGGCCAAUUUCUCCCAUUUGGAAUGGCUGUAUUCACCCAAUGCCUGUACCCCCGUUGUAUCUAGGAAGUAAUUAACUUGCUCUUGAUUUCACAGGCUCAUAGGUGGAAGCAACUUGCCUUGUGUUGGAUGAGACUUUGGACUGUAGACUUUUGACUUAAUGCUGAAAUGAGUUAAGAUUUUGGGGGACUGUUGGGAAGACCUGAUUGGUUUUGAAAUGUAAAGAUACGAGAUUUGGGGGGUGCAGGGGCAGAAUGAUAUGGUUUGGCUCUGUGUCCCCACCCAAAUCUCAUCUUGUAGCUCCCAUAAUUCCCAUGUGUUGUGGGAGGGACCUGAUAGGAGAUAAUUGAAUCAUGGGGGUGGGUCUUUCCUGUGCUGUUUUUGUGAUAGUGAAUGGGUCUCACAAGAUCUGAUGGUUUAAAAAAUGGGAGUUUCUGUGCACAAACUCUCUCCCUGCCUGCUGCCAUCCAUGUAAGAUGUGAUUUGCUCUUCCUUGCUUUCUGCCAUGAUUGUGAGGCCUCCCCAGCCAUGUGGAAUUGUAAAUCCAAUAAACUUCUUUCUUUUGUAAAUU
rnacentral:lncRNA from 10 species